AUGCUGAACUACCUACAACUGAUCUUAAGGCUGGAGGCCAAAUUCAUGGGCGAUAAAAUGUUCUACCCUUCACUGAGCCAACCCUGCUCGUACUGCCUGUUGUUACUUCAUGCACUGCGGCUUUGCCUUUGCCCAGGCAUUGCCCCUGCAGGUCCUGGUGCUGUAGGAGGCCAGGUGGCUGCUCAUCCUGCUCUGCCCCUGUCUUCCUCUGGGGCCUCUUGUUCAUGGGCACCGCAGCUACUUACUGGAGCUAUUGAUCUGGUACGAGUGACCAGUGUGACUUCAGAAAGCAACUUUACAUGUGAUUAACCAGCUGUAUGAUGCUCAUUCAGUGCAGCAGAUUGGGAGCUGAAAGUUUCAUCAAUAAAUAUGACUCUGAUGGCUUCAUGUCAGCGGUCAAGAGAGCUGUUGUGAGAUUGCAGGCUGACUUUGAGUGAAAUCAGGCAAAAUCCAUGCAUGAAGGUGUGGCCUGGAGGACUGCAGGAGGGAUGAAAUCCUCACACAUCCUGGGAGCAAGGGCACUUACUGGAUCUCCACUCAACACUUUGCUUUCCAAAAGGAUUCUCUGUGGCAAAUCUUCUGCAUGGGAUAGUACUCUCUGACCAAGAAGAAGAUUCACAGGAAUAAAGAGUGGCCCCCUAAGAAGUUGCAUAACGACCUUGACUUAUAGAACAUCUUGGAACAAUUCUUACAUUGAAAAGUAAAUGAAUAACAACACAUAAAGUUUACCAAGCAAGUGUUAGAAAAUGUGAGUUGUGAUUCUUGCCACAUUCCAAUUUUUUAAAAAUAAGCGUGUGUUUUUUCAAAAGAUUUUAAAGGG